AGCGAACGCUGGCGGCAGGCUUAACACAUGCAAGUCGAACGGCAGCACAGUAAGAGUUUGCUCUUACGGGUGGCGAGUGGCGGAUGGGUGAGGAAUACAUCGGAAUCUACUUUUUCGUGGGGGAUCACGUAGGGAAAGUUACGCUAAUACAUCAUACGACCCACGGGUGAAAGCAGGGGAGCUUGGGACCUUGCGCGAUUGAAUGAGCCGAUGUCGGAUUGGCUUGUUGGCGGGGUAAAGGCCCACCAAGGCGACGAUCCGUAGCCGGUCUGAGAGGAUGAUCGGCGACACGAGAGCUGGGACACGGACCAGGCUCCUGCGAGAGGCAGCAGUGGCGAAUGUUGGGCAAUGGGCGCAAGUCUGGUCCAGCCAGACCACGUGUGUUGAGAAGGCGUUCGGUUUGUAAAGACCGUUUGUGGGGAAAGAAAAGCAUCAGGUUAAGACGCCGCGGUUGUGACGGUACCCAAAGAAGAAGCACCGGCUAACUUCGUG
rnacentral:rRNA from 1 species